UCCUCAGGUGCUUGCCCAGGUUGUGAAGGCCACAGAUGGAGCACUGCUGACCUCCCGGGUAAGAUGCAGCAGUGAUUUCAUGGAAUAGAGAGGAGUUUUGUCUGUGACACAAAGAGGAGGACACAGCCGUACUAAGGGUAGCUUUGGGCUCUGUAUAUUUGCUCAGUAAGAGAUUUUUCCACCUUCUCCUGCUGGAAGCACUUAAUUCAAGCUGAAGCAGCUUAGAUAUAUGCAGAGAUCUGUUUGUGUGCGCCAUGCAUACAUAUAUGCAUGGAGAUACACGCAAAGCAUGCAGGCAGCUGUACAUUUGCGGUGUUAUAUUUCCUUAGGGACUCACUGAUCUCAAGCCACUGCACAGAGCAGUCCCUGGAACAGCUUUCUGAUGGAAGGUCAAGAGUGAUCUCCUGUUGGCCAUUUAACAAGAGGUGGAGUGAGAUUGAGAUCUCCGAGGCCUUGAACAUUCAGCCUUCUCCUUUCUCCAGCCUAUUUGCUUUUCAUUUUCACAUUAUGUAUGAGAUUAGAUCCUCCGAUAAAAAUACUCACUGUGGAAGUAUUGUCCGAAGUGGAUACUCUGACAACCAUGGCCAGUAUCCCUUCAGAAGUAUCAGGAUGCUCACAAGUAAGUAUAUAACCAAAAUAAGGUCAGAAUUGGAGGCAGGAGAGAAGCAGGGUCAGGGCAGUGAAGUGGAGGAGGAAGUCAUAAAAUUCCCCUGCAUUAUCUGCACCCAAUUCCUACUGCCUCUGAAUCACACAGUGUGCAGAAACAGCUCACAGUCAUCUGCAAGAAGUCAUCACAUUUGUAACCAUUGUCCCUUUUACCCAAGAAUUUGCAUGGUUAAACUAUUAGUGCUGCAAUAUCUUGAUCCAUACGCAAAUUAUACCUCUACUAUGUAGGGUGUAAUUCCUCUAAUCCAAUUUAGAUGUUGAACAUUGCUGGGGAGAAAAUCUAAUGCAACAAACCAGACCUUUAUCCACCAAGGGAGAUGAAAAAUCAUCAUUGCUUCAGUCUGAAUAUAUCUAAUUCAACCACAAAUUGCUAGGCUGAGAAGAGUCCACUGAGCAACCAGGAAGGCUAAUUUCUCCCUUGCAGGAAUUAUCAUAUUAAACUCCCUGACCUGGGUUAGCCAGGAGGUCAGAUUAGAUUAUCGCUGUCCCAAAUUCUGGUCUCAGAAACCAGCUUUCAGUGCCAAUCUGGCUGAAAUCCCAGGUAAACAUCAUGAAAGAAGUGCGGGCGUGUGGUUAGGAUAUCUCAUUUCUGUGUGCUGUGGUGGAUGAGCCAGCUGGCUGCUGUCGGUAAGAAGGCAGCAGAACUUCCUGAAAAUGGGAAAAUCUUCACCAGAUGUCGAGAAGCUGCUUAUGGCCACAGUGGGUCAACAUGGGCCCCCCAGCAUGGCACGUGUUUUCAGGCUGGCAGCUCCUGCUGCUCAGGUGGGGUUCUCAAAUGCCCUGAGUUUGGUUAAACAGGUUUGAGAAGAUGAGGGGAAAUGGUUUCAAACUAAAAGAGGAGAGGUUACAUUGGAUAUAUGGAAAAAGGUUUUUAUGUUAAGAGUAGUGUGGCACUGGAAGGUCCAGAGAUACAGUGGAUGCCCCAUUCUUGGAGACACUCAAGGUCAGGCUGGAUGGGGCUCUGAGUACCCUGAUGGAGCUGUGGGUGUCUCUGUUCAUUGCGGGGGAGUUGGACCACAUAUUCUUUAAGGAUCCCUUCCAACUAAAACAAUUCUAUGGUUCUACAAAGACCCCUUUGGGAGCACCUCCUGUUUGAAAGGCAGAGGCAGAUGUUAUCAGCAGGCCUUGGGCUCCCUUCUGAGGUGCCAAGAAAUCACACAGUGAUUGACUCUUCCCUGACUUGUCCACCAAAUGCUCUGUGUCACCCAGAAGAGGACAAGUCCUCUGCCUCCGACCGCCUGUCCCUUCCCCACUCCCGGAACGGUGGUGAACAGCAGGGCUGUGACUAAUGGCAGCAUGAAGCUGUUGGCCAUCUAAAUCAGGCACUGAAUCAGAAAGAGCAGGGAAAAAAAAGGGUAUCUGAACCAGCUCUGAUCACGCACAGGCCACAGCAGGAUCAGCUGGGUAUGUCACUGACUCACAGGUGAACGUGUGACACUGUGAGCGCUGGCAUCAGCGCUGCUCCCAGUCUGUGCGGGAAAGCAGCAACAUGGAGACUUUCCCACGUGCAUUCCUUGCUCAGCACAUGAUGAAGUUUGAUCAGAAGACAUGGCACAGGAGCAGAAUGAUAUUCUUAGGAGGAACAUGAAAAAAAAAAAACAAACAACAAGAAAAAACAGUGCAGUAAAUUCUUGCUUGCAAAGAGUGGUAUUUCCAUGUGCAGGCUUGCUCCACCUGCAAUUUUACAUGUGUGUGGUGAUUGCUGAUAUGAUGCCUCUGGUUAAGAUGCUUGAUCUGAGCUUUGGGAAAAUCCCUUCCUUAUUAAUCCAUUAUUUGAUAUACAUGCAAAGUAGCAUAUAAUGUAGCCUCAAUCCACAGAGAUUUGUGCCUUCGGGGCUGCAGGUAUCUGAGGGAUGAAGGAGAGAGAAAAGCCAACAGCUGAGUGCCCUGCUUCUGGGCAGUCAUUGGGGUUGUGCCGUGAUUGGCAGCACAGUGGUGGUCAGCCUAGGGAUUUGAGGCAGAAAAGCAUUUCCAAAGGAGUGUUGUCCACCCUCUGCAGAGCUCGUCUUGGUAAGAGAUCUGAGCAUGACGGACAACCAACUAAAAAGCCACUGCUCCAUAGUGAGGAAGCUGCUGUUGGCCAGCAGUGACAUCCCAGCCCUCCAUACACACUGUGCCAUUGGAGCAGUGGAAUGAGGUGAGCUUUCCCGAUGGUGUUCCAGGCACAGGACUGCAGGUACCCCUCUGGGGUGCUGACUGAUAUGGCAGUAUUGCAAACAGAGCAUCCCCAGACUAAUGAUAGCCAAAAAAAAGCAUUGGGAGUGGAGCUCAGAGGAGAGCAUCCUGACCAGGUCCUGCAGUUUGGGGUGCACAUCCCUGCUGUGCCUGAUGAGAUUUACAUAGAGCCAGCUGCACUUCUGACUGCACCACAGUGACUUGCAACGUUUUAAAGUUAAGCAAACAGUUAUUUGCAGAACCAGGUCCUAAAGUGAGACGCGAUGCAAAGUAAGUGUAGUGGAAGAAGGAGAGGGGGUGGGAAGAGAUGGAACAAUGCUCUGUAAAAUCAACCAGCAGUGUAAGUGUGCCUGCUUCAACUGUUACCAAUCUGGGUGUUAUUUCAGACAUACCAGAUAGAGGAGGUAAAUGCCAGAAGCCCAAGGAUGUCGAGAGCCCACCACAAGCCCACAGGAUAACAAAUCUACUGUCUGGUUCUCAGGCAUCUGGAACCCCACUUGCACUUCACUGUGACAUGUGCAGGAAUGCUUGGUGGAGCCUCAUGGGGUCUUUGUGUUGCAUCUUUACAACCCACCCUGGGAGCUGCAUGUGCUGGGCUGUCCUGGUGUGGACACUGCCAAGACAAGUACAGGGUGACUGCAGCCCCCUGCUUUUCCAUUGGUUUAGCACAUCUUCUGUUGUUUAUCCUGAUCUCUGUGCAAAAAAUGACCUCUGUCUUUUGCAGUGAAGAAGACGAUUGCUCAGAGCAUCACCAGCCAGCAUCCUCAGCAGCUUCUGCAGCACCUCUGGGUGCCAGCGCAGCCCUGUGCAAUCCUUGCAGUAGCCUGUUUCUAUGGAUAUGUGAGUUCUAGCCUGUGCUGGCUCAUGCAGAUGCCCCAGAAGGGUGGUGGAUGAGGUGCAGCCACCCUUCACAGACUCUUUUGUUAUGUGUUCAUGAAUAACCAUGAUCCUGGUUUCCAAGUCUCUGCUCAGUCCACGCCAGCUCUUCUCAGGCAAUGCAAUCUGUGCUCCUCCAUCAUCAGAACCAGCACCUCCUCUAUCCCAAACAUAUAUUUGUUUCUACAGUAAAGAGUCCUAACCUUCUUCCAUUCUGGAAUGGAUGGAAAAUGCCCACUGUCCUGUCCUCCUUUUCUGAGUCCUGGCUCUGGUCUCUCCAUGAAGAAAUGGGGUUGAAAGAUCCUAUCUCAAGUGAAGCUGCAGCUAAUGCAAGCUGCAGUUAAUGAAAACUGCGCUGAGCACUGAGCUCCUGGUGCUACCGAAGCUCUCUGCCUUUCCCAGACUUCCUGGGAAGUGUUUUGAACUUUAUUUUUAAAAGCGCAAUUAAUCACGGAGCAGAGCUUGAAAUCAGUCCAAGUGCAAUAAAAGCACCCGAGCGGGGCUCAGCCCAGCGAGCAUUGUUUGCCACGGCCUGACUUCAGGCAUGGGGAAACUUUUCAGAUGUGCUAACUUUGCAGCUCCUGGCUCCUGCAGGAAUCUUAACUGCUACCAUCUGUACGAGGGAGCAGCUAUGGAAGAGCAGCUCUCCCUCUCCCUUUAUGUACAUUCCUCGGAGCACCCAUUUAGCAUCCUCUGCAUUUUCUCACCCUCGCUGACUGAAGGCUUUGCCCUACAAAGGUGCUGUUUCUUUGUGCUUCCAUCCCUCAAGGGGUAUGCUGAGGACUGGCAGCAUCUUUGCGGAGCCCCUCGGUCGCGCCCCUCCAUCUGUUGCUGGUCUCCAUGUGGUUUACAAGACGCUACAGGAAGGCAUUUUCUCACGCUAUUAAGUUUUCACUAGAUGCGGAGGGGGAUCAGGAAUGCCUCGGACGGCGUAAAAAAUCCCUUCUCGGCUCAGUUAUUAGGAUCUAGCAGCAGCAGCAAGCAAAAUUAUAGCCUCCAUGAAAUCCGAGUCUGCUGCCUUGCCAUGGGCUAGGGGUGCUCUUCCAGGUAUGCCUGGAUGCCUCCCAGACCAGUCCUCCUUCCCUUAUCUGCCUCUCUUUUUGGAGCAGAGGUUGGUUGCCUUCUGCUGUGUGUCCAUCAGAUAUUGGGGUAUGGUUUUGCUUGGCUGCUCUAGGAACAACACCAGCAAUAAUGCCCACUGCAGUGAAAAGACCAGGGCUAUACCCUCGGGCUGAACCCUACAACCUGCCUGGAUGUGCUGAUUGUCAUUCAUCUCCAGGAGAGCUCAGUUGGCUUUCCUCACCUUUGUUUCUUUCCCCAAGAAACAUUCUUGGGCAAUGAAGCUCUGAAGGGUCUGGAGCACAGAUCUUACAUGGAGUUGCUGAAGGAAGUGGGAUUGUUCAGUCCAGAGAAGAGGAGGCUCAGGGGAGACCUUGUAGCUCUCUACAACUCCCAGAAAGUUAGCUGUAGACAAGUGAAAGUUGGACUCUUCUCCCAGGUAACAGUGAUAGGAAGAGAAGUAACAGCCUUAGGUUGCACCAGGGAAGGUUCAGGUUGGAUAUUAGGAAAGAUUUCUUCUCAGAAAGAGUAGUAAUGCACUGGAAUGGGCUGCGCAGGGAGGUGGGGGAGUCACUGUCCCUGGAGGGUGGAUGUGGCACGGAGGGUCAUGGCCUAGUGUGGCCACAGGAACAGGUUGGUAGUUGGACUAGAGAAUCUUAUUGGUCUUUCCAACCUUAAUGAUUCUGUGAUCCUCAUGCAUUGUCUCCACAGAAGGUUCUAAUCAUCCUAACUACACUCAGCACUUGUAAAGUACUCUGCAUACCAGAAGCCCCUCACAGAUGUAAACUAGUUCGCCUUUCCAAGACUUACAUGGAGGUGAGCAGGAGCUACAGCUCCAUUUUGCAGCUGGAGAGGCUGACACAUGGAGGUUCAUGGCUACACUCAGGGCCACACAAGGGCUAGCACAGCUGGGAUCAGACAUCUCUGGUUCUUAAACUGUGCUUAAACCACCAAACCUCAUUGCAGGGGCACACUAGAGGGACUGGAUCCAAACCAAAAUGAGCAGUGCCCAGGACUAUAUAUAAUUUCUCCUGAUUCUGCAAAGCUUGUGCGAAGUACAGAAAAGGCUGGUGUCAUCCUGGGUUUAUGGUUGUGUUUCCUUCAGAAACCCCACAGAUCAUUCACCCCCCUGGUACUCAAAUAAGUUCUAGAAAUGAAAAGCUGUUGAAGCAGCGUAUGUGAGUGGACUUUGUGCCUGGGCAAGGACUAUGUCUGUAGCAUUGUAUCACAACAAUAACAGUAAUGAAGAGCAACACUCAAAAGCAAGCCUAUGCACAAGGCCUUGAAAUAACAGAUCAACUAAUAGAAAAGCAGGAAGAACAGGGAGAGGGGAUAGGAGAAGCCCAAUAUGAAUGACUUUGGUAAUCCGGCCCUCUCUGGUGGAAGCUGAAAGGAGAGACUGUUUCCCUACCAGUCAUUUCACUAUGACUAAGCUACAUUUGCACCCUAAUAAAAAGCUGAACCUAAGUGUUCAAGAGGUAACUUUGUCUGCCUCACGCUCCUGGCCAGAAGGACUAUUCACAGCCCAACCAUAGUUCACCACACUUCCCCAUGUUUUCUGUGUAAUAUUCUGCUCUGCGUCUCCAAAACGCUUCCCUUUGUGCGGGUUCAGCUUCUUGCCCCUGUACGGUGAAGGAAGGGGAAUGUGACUCAGCCCCACUCACACCAAGGAGCUACGGUCACCCUGCUAGCAAGCCAGGUCUGAUGUCCACAGGCUGUACAAGCCCCAGGCGAUGUCUUCUGAGAGCAGAGCUAGUUUGAUCACCGCCGUGUCAAAGGAGAGACAGGAUGCACAGACAUCUGAGUUAGUCAUCCUGGCUUCAAACCCACAGGAUAUCUCAAGUGACUGAAAUGUAGGUGGAAAGCCAGGCUUAAACUAUACGUCUGCGGAUUUCAGCAUUAGGCGAUCAACCUCACAGAGGCCCAACACAAGAUGGCCAAGUAGGUAACCCCAAAUGACAGCAGAACAACUGCCAGAUGGAGUUGCUAGCUCCUAAUUUGUCUGGUAUCACUGGUGGCAGACAACAACCAGGCUUUAUUAUGACACUGUCAGAGCAGAGAAAUCAUGGUCAUGGGGGAAAAAAGUCUCAAGGGCAAGAUUUUCUGAAUAUGCAGCACUCCGAUGAGUUUGCUCCCAUCUCAGGACUCCUCUGUCUUCCAGAGGAAGGACAGCAAGUUGCUGAAAGUAAAGCAAAUUCCCAUCCCCUGGGGUAUCAGCUUCAGAGGACAGCGUGGGGUGUGCCUGUAGGAGUUAGCGGAGAGAGGACAGCAUGCAGAGAGCUGGACUGUUUUAGGGGAGAGAGACUUUGCAGAAGGCACAAGGUAAAUCUGUGACAGAACUCUGACAUCAGUCCUCAUUUUUUUGCUUGCCUGUUUUGCUUUUCAGCUGAUUAUGCAAUUUUGAAAUCAAGAAGAUGAUCCUGUCUUCUCCAUUUUCCUGCCAGUACAGUUUCUGUGUCUGAGGACAGUUCCAAAAGCAGAGCAUCGGAAGUGAGAUGUGAAAUGAGAAUUCAGAUUUUACAUUAGAGUUAGGAAUGGUGAAGGACUGUUGGCUCACCCUCUCCGCUUUCCAUGCAGGACAAAUUCACUGACUUCCAUUUUCAGUGCCUUCUCUAUUUGCUUUAUCUGAUAGAACAGAUGUUUCUCUUGGAGAUUAAAGUGUGAUUGAGCAGCAAAGAGCUAAAAUAUAUCUAAGGAACAUGGAUGUGUCUAAACAAGGUAAAACAAAGCAAGGAUUUUACUAUCUGACUUAUGCAGAAGAUGGCAAGAGAUUUAUCUGAGUAGCCUUUGUAAUGUAUGCUAAUGAUGAGUGUCAUAAAGGGAACUGAAAAGCAAACUGGAAGGCAACAUCUAUGACAGCUGUGACAAAGUGGAAAUAAUUCAAUGUCACUCAUUAAGGGUGACCAUUUCUCAGUUCAUUGACCCUAAAACAGGCUCCAGCUGUAUUUCACCUAUGUAGAAGAGUCAGCCAUCGCCAUUUCACAAACAUCUUUCCAUCAAGUUUUUCACUGGAAAUAAAAUCAAGACCAUUUGCUUGAACUAACCUGUGGUAGUCCUACAGAAUGCCAGUGAUGUGCUGGUGAAUUUCAAGCUAUCACCCUCAGACAUCUUCCCAGCUAGAAGGUUCUUCUUUCCUUGUAUUCUUACUCUUUUGUCCCACUCGUACACCCAGCAGAGACAAAGAGACUGGCCCCCUCCAGUGUCACAGCCUGGUGCCACAAGCAACCUCCUUAAUAUCCGCAUAAAGUACGUAGAGUUGUUGCGUGCUGAAUGUUUUCUAGUGCUGAUUUUCUUUAUAAUGCUCCUCAUUUCAGGGAAUGCUUGCAAUUCCUUGUGGCUGAUGGCUCUACAGAUGUUGCACCACAGCCGUGAUGGCAGCUGGAGCGUACAAUGUGAGAACUGAAACUCUGCCCAAAGCAUCUGCAGAAACCCAGGAAAAUAAGUCAUUCUUAUCCCAUCCUAUCCACUCAAAUGCUGGAGUACACUCGUGGACUGCCGUGGCCAGAUGGCAGCCUUUGCAACAUUCAUUUCUGCAGCUAUUCAAUAUACUAUGAAGAUUUUCUUUAGGAUCCACACUGAAUAGCAUUUGCCAGGCUAAACCUACUCCACUGGCCUGACUUGCUUUGGUCAUAGAAUGGCUUGGGCUGGAAGGGACCUCAAAGCCCAUCCAGCCUCUGGCCACUGCCACAGGCAAGGUUGCCCCCCACCAGCUCAGGCUGCCCAGGGCCCACCCAGCCUGGCCUUGUGUACCUCCAAGGAUAGGGCACCCACAGCUCUCUGUGCAACCUGUGCCAGUGGCUCGCCUCCCUCUAAACAAACUCCCUCUAAACAACUCGCCUCCCUCUAAACAAACAUGGCAGGGUCUGUGUCAGUCAUCUUUUCAUGAGGAAAAGCAAAUAAAAAGAGCAAAGAACAUCCCUGCUCAUGGCUGCAAUUGACAAGGGCAGCACAGAUGGUGCUCAGCACCAUGGUUUGCUUUGUGAUUUAUAUUUAUAUUAAGAGGGCAAUUUGAUCCUCCAUAUAUUUAAGCAAGUGAAUUAACCAGGUUUUUUGAGAGCCUUUAAAAAAAUUGUCCAUCCUAUAAUUUGCUCUUCUCCUUCUUUUCAGAAAAUUAACAUCAUUGUUAUCAGCAAAUUAGCAAAUUAACAGCACUGUUAUCACCCCAAACCAACCAAAGUGUUGUUACUAGGUGACUUGCCAUUAAUAUUGGUUGAAUUGAAAAGACAAAACGAAACCAGCCAAACAAAAAGAGCGAACAACAAAAUAACUGAGUAUACAAGUGAAAUAAAAGAGGAGAAAAAUGAAAGGAAACAUUAAUGAAUGGAAAAAAAAAAUACCACAGAAUAGUUGCCAUGUUUUCUGCUCUGCUUCAUCCUUUCUACUUGGAAAUGGCCAACCACAACACUUGCCUGUGCCCUUCCCUUAUCUUGGUGGUGGAUAAGAGCUGGGAUGAAAGUCACUCACCUGGAAACCUCUCCUGGAAAUUAAACAGGUUUGAGUAGAGCAUUCAAUAGACUGCUUCUUGAGACACAGGUGGAAUUUCCACUUAGAAGUCUUGAUACCAAGAUUUUUAUUCUGAUCCCAUUGGUUUUUCUUCUCAGGCUGUUAAAACAUCAUCUUUCUUCAAAGUCUUAGAAAUAGAAUUAUCAACAAGGCUGAUUUUUAGAGAGAAUAAAAGCAACAAGGUGCUCUGAAGAGAGAAGCAGUAAAUGGUGUGUAACAGGUUUCCAGGUGGCUGCAUCAAAACCAGGAUUCAAUAGCCUAUACUGCCCUGGAAAGACACCAGACGUGGUGAUGUGAUGUCAAUCCCUCCAGCUCACCUUUCUCCUGGGGGUCUGUGCAGCUCCCUCUGGUCCCUCAGCUGCUGGAGGUUACCUUGGAGUCUACAAACUCUCAACACCACGACUCACUCUAUAAAUGUAAGUGCAGGGGGGGCUUUGCCAUUUUUUAGCCUCUCUUUUGAGCUAUAUUUCUAGGAGGAAGGAAAAUGUAAUGGCACAGGACCAGCCACAGACAACUGAUGAACCCCUGUGGUUUUAAAAUGAGCACUGACAGAAAAGAUGUCUACUGCCUGGUGCAACCAGCUUUUCAGAUGUGAACUGGGGGAACUGGGAAGAUCUGUGGUUCCUUUUUGGAGCUGACUGGGGAGAGGCAGAGGGGAAGAACCAGUGUGACUGCUCCAAUCUAGGACUGUUCUACCUGCUGGCCUUCAAUAGGUGAGCUGAAGGAAAAUACUGCAACUGUCAUCAAUUGUAUUGUUUUCUAAACAAUGUGAAUCUCUUUUUCUUAUUUUUUAAUCUUUGAGAAUAAAAUAGGCUCCAGAACUCAGAAACCCAGGGCAAAAUCUGUCUGUCUCUGUAUGUAAGUGCUGGACUUGCCAUGUGCUCCUAUAGGUAGAUAUCUGUGUGGCUCCACAAACUCACUAUCUUCCCUGGAGAGCUCUCAGUGUAUUUAAGUGAUCCAGAUGUGCUCCCUGGGAGGUGUGCCCCUGCUUCCAAGAAGGACUAAGAGACAGAGAUAGGUCUCAUUCUGCUUAAAUUCAGAUAUGUAACAUUUACUACCUAAAUCUCAGCUGCUUUUCUGGGCAAUAAACUUUUCUUCUUAUCUAACUUUAACAUUCACCUUUAGAAUCAUAGAAUCAUUUGUGUUGGAUGGGAGCUCUCAAGGUCAUCUAGCCCAGCUCCUCAGCAAUGAGCAGGGACACCUACAGCUCCAUCAGUGCUCAGAGCCCAAUCAAACCUGACCUUGAGUGUCUGCAGGGAUGGGGCAUCCCCCAUCUCUGGGCAACCGGUGCCAGUGCCUCA